GACGUAGGUGGCGAACGUUAUCCGGAUUUAUUGGGCGUAAAGGAUGCGUAGACGGUAAAACAAGUUACUAGUUAACGUCGAGCUCAACUUGACUGAAAUUAGUAAUACUAUUUUGCUAGAGAUUGGGAGAAGUUGAUGGAAAUCUAUGUGGAGGGGUGAAAUUCGUAGAUAUUGGGAAGAACACCGGUGGCGAAGGCGGCGCUCUGGACCGAGACUGACGCUGAGGCGCGAAAGCGUGGGGAGCAAACAGG
rnacentral:rRNA from 1 species